GGUCUAUAUGCUUCCUUAUUUAUCUCUUAUACAUCACAAUACAACAUUUUGUAUAGACCAUAUUGAAUUAGAAGUGCUUAGUGCAACAUUUGCACAACCCUAUGCAACCUUGCAUAGGGUCCAACAUGCCCCAUGUCACAGGUCAGUAUGACCCAUGCCUUAGGUCAGCAUGCCUCAUGCCAAGGUCAUGUUGAUCUUAGUUAAUUUGGUAUUUUCAACAUGGGGUAUGGCACAGCCCAUGCCACACCCUAUGCAUAUUUCAGCAGAUUUGGGGCAAUUUAACCAAAAAAAAAAAAAAUUCGCAAAAC
rnacentral:misc_RNA from 1 species